GUGGUCUUAAUGAGGCUGGUGGGAAAAGAACAUGGUGGUCUAGCACCGAAGAAGGCAGCCAUCACCGAGGGACCAUCACUACCAGGACAGCCUGGACAAGGGAAGAAGAUAGGUCAUCGAGGCGUUGAUGCUUCUGGUGAAACCACCUACAAAAAGACCACCUCAUCCACUCUGAAGGGGGCCAUCCAGCUGGGGAUUGGAUAUACUGUCGGCAAUUUGAGCUCCAAGCCAGAGAGAGAUGUCCUGAUGCAGGACUUCUACGUGGUGGAGAGCAUUUUUUUCCCAAGCGAAGGGAGUAAUCUCACCCCGGCUCACCAUUAUGCUGACUUCAGGUUCAAGACCUAUGCACCAGUGGCUUUUCGGUACUUCCGAGAACUCUUUGGCAUUCGUCCAGAUGAUUAUUUGUAUUCGUUAUGUAACGAGCCUCUGAUAGAGCUGUCGAACCCUGGUGCCAGCGGCUCCCUCUUCUAUGUCACCAGUGACGAUGAAUUCAUCAUAAAAACUGUGAUGCACAAGGAAGCUGAAUUCCUACAGAAGCUCCUUCCUGGCUACUACAUGAAUCUGAACCAGAACCCACGGACGCUGCUGCCGAAGUUUUAUGGACUGUACUGUGUGCAGUCAGGGGGCAAAAACAUCCGCGUGGUCGUGAUGAACAACAUUCUGCCUCGUGUGGUGAAAAUGCACCUGAAAUUUGACCUGAAAGGCUCAACCUAUAAACGCCGGGCAUCAAAGAAGGAAAAAGAAAAGUCCAGCCCUACGUACAAGGAUCUAGACUUCAUACAAGACAUGCCUGAGGGCCUGAUGUUGGAUGCAGACACCUUCAGUGCAUUGGUGAAAACUUUGCAACGAGACUGUCUGGUGCUGGAAAGUUUUAAAAUCAUGGACUACAGCCUCCUGCUUGGGGUUCAUAACAUAGACCAGCAAGAACGGGAGCGGCAGUCUGAGGGAGCCCACAGCACGUCGGAUGAGAAGCGUCCCAUGGGGCAGAAGGCACUUUACUCCACGGCCAUGGAGUCCAUCCAGGGUGGGGCUGCCCGGGGGGAGUCCAUAGACACAGAUGACACGAUGGGAGGAAUCCCAGCAGUGAAUGGCAAAGGAGAGCGUCUCCUCCUACAUGUAGGAAUAAUAGAUAUCCUUCAGUCAUACAGGUUCAUCAAGAAGCUAGAACAUACCUGGAAGGCCCUUGUCCAUGACGGGGACACGGUGUCAGUACACAGACCCAGCUUUUAUGCAGAGAGAUUCUUCAAAUUCAUGACUAACACGGUGUUUCGAAAGAAUUCCUCUCUGAAGUCAUCUCCCUCGAAGAAAGGGCGUAGUGCCUUGCUAGCUGUCAAGACGGCCGGUCCAACAGCCGCGUUUUCAGCUAGCCAGCUUCCCUCUGAAAAGGACGAAACACAGUAUGACCUUCGUGCGGCCAGGAGUUACCCCACGCUUGACGAUGAAGGUGCUAAACUUAACCAGGACAGGGGGGAAGGCAGGCCAGACCUGCUACCCUGCACACCACCUUCCUUUGAAGAAGCCACCACGGCCUCCAUAGCCACAACACUAUCUUCAACAUCUCUCUCCGUUCCCGAGCGAUCCCCUUCGGAGACCUCUGAGCAGCCCAGGUACAGGAGGCGCACACACUCCUCAGGGCAGGAUGGCAGGUCACACGAAGAGGUGCGGGUUGAGGAGGAGCUUCAGCAGAUCAGUGUCGAGCUGGAGCCCAAGUGUGACGUUGAGAUCAUAGCUCCCGAAGAAGAUGACAAAGAAGAGGCGGCUUCUUCAGCCUGUGCCAUUGUAACGUCCACAGCUACAAUAGAGGUGGAGACAGCCAGCCAGGCCUCGGAACCAGCCAGCCAGGCCUCCGAUGAAGAUGACGUGCCAGUCACAGACAUAUAUUUUUUCACAGAUGGGAGGUACUGGAUUUACUCUCCCCGUCAGCGCAGAGUCCGAACCACCUCGCUUUCCUCUGGGAUUGUAAGUGAACUUGUAGGGAAGCAGAGCUGCAGCUUUGAAACACUGAGGCCAGCACUCCCUUUCCCUUGGAUGCUGUGGCUGUAUUGUGUGGCCCUUAGGAGCCAGCCCAGCAGAAACCAGGGAAGCGUACCGAAUUCCCCCAAAUGCACGUCCCUGUAGAAUCUUGCAGAAACACGUUCUGCUCUGCUUUCCUGCAGGCUGGUGACACAGCUCCUGCCAUGAGAUGGGCUGAUCACCCAGCCUUGGACAAACUUGGCAGCACCAGACUUGGCCAGGGAAACACCUGAGCCUUUGUAGGUCAUGUUAGGCUUGGCUCCCUUGGCCCAGGAAGCCAGAGAGGGUUCCAGAGAGACCAUUAAGAUGUUUUGAAGCUGCUAAAAAUCCUGUUGCAAAUAAAACCUUUUAGGCUUGUGGCUGGUCAUCUUUCUGGUGGCUGGGAUGGUGAGCAGCUCAUAAAGACAAACGAGUUAGAAGUUGCUGCUGGGUUGGGAAUGGUUUCUGCUCUCCAGCCCUUCUCAGAAUCACUGAUAUGCUCCCUCCUCGCUGCAGGUUUUCUGUGAGCGGUAAGGAUUUUCCUUUCCAAAAGAUACAGGGAGGCAGUUGAGCAUUUGAGGGGAUUAAUCCAGAGCUCAAGACUGCUCUGGGUUUUAGUAUUUCCUUUCUCAGGCUUUGGGAGAGCUGAUGUCCUCAGAGGGUAAUGGCAGCGCUGUCAGAGCCUCGGCACAAGCAUUUGUGUAGCAUGGUCCUCCCAGUGCCUGCCCUUUUGGUACCAGGCAGGGGAGCAGUGGAGAGGGCAUCAGGCAGGGUGCAUGGGGAAAUGGGCAGUAACAUGCUCCUGGCCUUGGCUGAUGGCAUGAGGAAAGUGCUGCACCUUCAUGGGCAAGCGGGCCACCCCUCCCAGCAGCUCCCCCUGCCCCCUUGGCUGGGUUUGGCUGCCUCAGCACUGGGAGGGUUAACACCGAACACCAGAUGCUCCUUUAUCCACCCCCCCCCGCCGGCUUUACAGCUCCCUGCAUGCAUCUGAGCUCCUAAAAGGCUCUGAAGGAGGCUGACUGGAGCAUGCGGUUCAGUCAGGAUGGAUGAAAAACAGGAUGUGGGGCAGGCUUUAUGCAGUGUUGAGCUUUCCUGCACAUCUAGCAGAGCCCUGUAAGAGGCUCCAGGCAAGGGUUUCUCUUCCCUCCUUCCUCCCAGCGGUCUCUGCUGAUUUAGCUGCAGCUUUUGAUGGGGUUCAGCAUGCGGAGCCCAGUGCUUCAAAGCUCCUCUGGCUUCUUGUAGUUUCUUGUACAUCACAGACUGUUACACUUGGUUCCCAGGCUGGGAACCCCCCCAGGCUUCUUCCAAGUACCCAGCGCUAUUUGUCUUCCUUUGCAGACCCCAGGCUGAGUCAAAGGGGGCAGUUUUCUCUCUCUGGGAGCACCCCUGGAGCCAAAAGAGCCUGUCUGCAGUGGAAGUGGGUCCCUGGGAACACUGGGAGCAGACACCAGCCCUUGAAUCUGCCUGGGCUUCUCUGUGCUGUGUUGGCAGCAGAAGUGUGUUUUGUCACACUGGUGCCCACCGCUGUGAUAACGGGCUCCCUUGACACACGUCCCCUUCCCCCUCAUUCCUUCCAGGAUCCAGCUGUGUUUUGCCUCCUCUGUUGUACCUGUUCCCAUCACCCCGCUGUCUCCAAGACUGUGUUAACCAUUUGCUUUCUGUGGCCACCAUCCACCACGGUCUAACCCACCUAUCUGCUGCCUUGCUUGGCCUGCAGGGAAGGGGGGGAAGGCUCAGCAAACCGGGUCAGGUUUCACUCUAAAAGCCCUCCUGGACACCAGAGAUGGCCAGCUUGUAGCAUGCACAGGGCUCAGGAAAUGGGAAGUUGAGAGCUGGAACUGGGUAGCAGGAACAGAGCUUUGUCACUACCCUUAGUUAAGUCGCUUCCCGUGUGUCUCGGUUUCUCUGGAGCUGGGGCGAUGCUAUGGCAGGGAGAGGAGGUUUCCCUGACAUCUCAAAAGCUCUAGAAGUCCGUCCCUGCAAGAGGAAGGGUUGUGCCAUCCCCACUGCAGCUGGAGCAGGGUCCAGGGUCAGCUGCUGGCCGGCUGUCCCAUGUCCCAGCUGGUAGGGAGCAGUUCGUACUGAGGAAGGGGAAGGCUCCUCUGCUGAGAGCUGGCACUGAGCUCAGUUCUCUCCCUCCAGGUGGUACAGCUGUUCUUACUGUAUUGUUUCCUACUCUUUUUAUUUUCUCCUUUUAUUUUUUCCUCUUCUCUCCUUUGCUCCCUGCUCUGCUGCUGCUCUCCUUGCAUUCUCCCCGCCGUCUCUGGCCACUCUGGCAGCCGACAGACGAGAGGAGUUGGGUUUACUCCCCGCUCCACUAUAGCGCUCAACUCCACUCUGUCUCCGAUGAGGAGAGCGAUACAUAAUCUCUAUGCAGACACAGAAGCCCCAGAGAGCAGCAAUUCCCUCUGCAGGUCGAUGUGUUCCCUUUUCGUUGAUGCAGCCGUUCCAGUGGGAUGGGGAAGAGCUUGCUGACACCAGUAUUGCUGCACUGCAGGAUCUCAGGCACUGCAUUUCAGAACGGAGCAAAACUAUAACCGUGUAUUUCUACUUAUCCCAGACGUGGGCAGCAAAGAAACCACCCGCUCACCCACAACUCCCAACGGAGACACCCAGCUGGGUGUAGAGAAUCCUGGGUAGUAACACAGUGUUUUCCAGACGUGCACUAUCGUAGCUACCUAUCCAUGUGUGAUACUGUGAACCUUUUUAAUUUUUUAACCAUGUAUUUAUUUCUUUUAUCUUUGCACAGAGACAGCACAAAUGUGCUUUUUUAAACAUUUAGUUUACUGCACUUUUUUUUUUUUUUUUGUUAUUGUUGUCAUAUAUUUGUGCAUCAGAAAGGAGUGUGAGACCUCACUGGAGAAUUGGUAGGAGCACGUUGCUGGGGAGGGCAGGGACCGGAGUGGCUUCAUUUGAGGCAGCAGUGUGGUCUAACCAACUGAUGGAGUCAGGAGGUUUAAGGCUGUCCGGGCUCUGCCACGGUUUUGCCGAGUGACCUAAAGCAAGUCACUUAACCACUCUGUGCCUCGGUUUCCCCCGUGCUAAUGGGUGUUCAGUACCCAAUUCCGUUAAAGCACUUAAACCCUGGGAUGAAAGGUGCUAUGUAAAUGCAAUGUAUUAAAGGCCAUUGAGUAGAAUUGCUCCCAUGUUACAGUAGUCCAAAGUAGCCAUGCCAAUUUACAGGGAUUCAGAAAUCGCUAGUGACUUCUCUUGAGCUGUAACACUGUGCGAGGGAAGCAAAUGAUUCCUGGUGACAGUGACGUGGUCACCUCGGCUCUUCUCCGGACAUCACGAUGGGUUCUGCCUUCGCCGUGUGCUGCACUGCUGUGUCACCCCGUCCCUCUGUGCUUGGAGCCCACGUUUCGUCUCACCGGCUGCCACACCACCGCCUGCUCCAGACACACGGGCGCGGACAGAGGAGAUCUGUGCACCACCAGGGACCAGCCGCGCCGGAGGGCGGGUUCCCCGCUCCACCCUGCCCCAGGUGUGGCUCCUCCGGACCCUGCAUCCCACUGCAGCCACUUAGCACCUCGCAUGCUCAUGGGUGUAUCCGACCGCCCAGUCCUUGGGGGUCGUGAACAUCGGGUUCACACGCAUCCUCCGUACCUCAGGGUGCUCUGGGAGGCGCACGCAUGUCCACGCUCGCUAGAGGCAGAAGCGGAAGCCUGGCUCUGCCACCUGAUUGUGCCAGGCAGUGUUGUGUUCCUGGACUCUCUUGGACAAAUAGCUGGGUGACUGGGAUGUUGCCUGUGGUAACAUCUGCUCUUGGAAAUUGCUGCCUUGGAUGUCUGAGAUAGUUUUUGCUUUUCGAGGGCUGCAGGCUUUAGGCGAGAGGAUUUGGUGUCACUGGGUAGUGUUCAGACUGGGCUCAUCCAUCAUACACCAUAGCAUUGUCUUGAACUCUAGCAAUCCCAUCCUCAUCUCCCAGAGAGAAGAAAGGAAAUCCUUUAGGCCAGAGGGAGCCAGGUCUUAGUCAUGUUCUUUACAAGCCUCACUUGAGAAAGAGGGACACAAAUUCUUUAUUCUCGUUAAUGUCAUUGGAAUUCCUUGGAGGAGGAGUGGGGAAGCAGGACCCUUCUCUUGGGGCUCAGUCUCCCUGACCUCUCUUCACAGCAGCACUCAGGAUGGAUUAAUUCAAGUCCCAGAAGGUAACUGGGCUGGUGGGAAGCUCUUCCCCUCUCUUAUGUGCUGAACUUGGUGAGGAUCUUCAUGAAUUGACAUUUUCUUGCCUAGAAGUCUGGGACCUAGCCUUCCCCCCCUUGCCUACAGAUGCUGAAGGCUGUAACGCGAGCUUCUCUCGAGAGCACAGGCUGGGGAUCUUGCAAGCUGCUACCAUUAGAUGUAUUCAUCUAUUUACCAAAUAAUCUAUCAAAAGUCUUUCAAGAAACUCUCCCCUUUCAGUCGCUACUUGACAACUCGUUGUUCACCCAGCUAGUAGCGUUGCUCCAUGGCAGCCCCUGCAGUCGGCUGGGAGGGGGCUCCCAACCCACCCCGUCUGCUUGUGCCGGUCCCACCCGGGCUCUGCUCAGCCUGGGCAGUGCUGGGGGGGCUCAGUAGUUUGGAGGAGGGGAGACGGGAGGAGUGCAAUACCUACAGACUAACCUGCCUCUGAGCUGAAAGCAAGAGGCUUUGAAAUACUAAAAAUUCAGCCUUUGUUUUUUUCCCUCCAGAAGCAUGAUACCAUGCGUGGAGAGGCCAGAGGGAACCAUAUCCCUUCUGCAUCUUCAGAUGUUGCUCUUGGGUGCUGCGCUGGAGGAACGCAGGAGGUUUGGGCUCAGGCUGUCUGACCUGAGGCCCAGCUGUCCUGGUACCACCAUGUUCAUGGGCUGGUGGGUCGGGACUUCCCAGCCAACUGAAAUCAAGCAUCUUUGUUAAGAUGGUUUAAGCAUCAUUGAUGGAGACUUUAUUCCUUCCCCUCAUUUCAGGGGUCUCUAAGGCUGCUUUAGCCUGUGUGCAGGGAACAUCUGAGCCCCACCUUCACGGAGUAUCUCAGUGAAUGAACAUUGCAAGCUGGAGCUGUGCUUGGUCCCAAGAGAUGUGGGGAGACCCAGACCUUUUGCAGCAUGUUCAUUCCAAGUGUCUUUCCUCAAGCAUUCAGGCUUUUUGAGACAAUCCUUGUGCAGUUCUGUAACACUGAACCUUUUGGAGUGAGCAGGUCUGGACACAGAGGGUUGGUCCUCUGUGAAGAGAACACGUGAAGGGCUUAGAGCAGCUUUGUCAGCAUGAGGGGCAGGAGCAACCUUCCUUUGGGGAGAUGUUGAUCUGAAACAGAAACUGCCCCUCUCUGGGCUUGCAUGUGCUGCCUACCUACUGCCCAGUUAACUCGGUGCUGGAGAACUGCACAGCCUCCACUUCCCAUGGAAGCUAAAAGGACCUCGGAGUUUAAAGCUUGCUGUUAGUUCACCUCUGCACUGUGCUGCGGCAGGAGAGCGUUGGGGAGCUUGGGAGCGUUUCCCAAGCACCGUCAGCGCUGCCUUUGCAGGGGACACAGUCAGAGGGGGCAGCACUAGGUCUUGUCCACAGGAAUGAGCAUCGGCCCUUUUUUGAGGAAGAGAACCAUGACCUGUCCUUGGUCUGAGUGUCCCUCCAGCUAUACUUCCAGCUCAUCAGGGACAUGAAUUGCCUGUACUUUCUCUGUCAGGGCUUUCUCUAGUGACCCAGCAGCUUGUCAGCGGGUGCUGUAACCCCUUCAUUCUCUCCACAGUUACAAGGAGGCACUGACUCCUCCGAGAUUUGAGCAGAGCAACCCUCUGAGACAGCUGGUUCCCACGUAGCUCUGUUUGCUGCUGCUCUUCACCCCCAUCAUCCCAGCUGGGACUCAGCUCUGCGAGACAUGCCCUGAACAUUGUGUGGUGUGGAGGCUUCUAGUGAGCUCAUGGCUUGGGCUUUUGCCAAACUGCAGGUGGCUGCUGCCUGUCACGUAUGCAUUGGGCAAGAGAAAGUGGGCAUCUCUGUGCUUGCUGUCAAGCUCCUGUACUGGCUCCGCCCUUAGCAGGCAGGUGUAGAGCAGAAGGCACGGGGCAAACCAAGGAGCUGUUGUAGAGAGCCCUGAAUGCUCACGCAGGGGAUCCAGCUUCUGUCUGCUGGUGCCUCUGCGGUGAGCGGCUCAGCCACGAGUGCCGAAAUUGCGCUUUGGGAAGUUUUCUUGGUGAAGGCAGAGCACUUGCAGGUCUUGGCAGAGGGCUGGCACAGGCGCAGUGGCUCCAUCACCCCGGGUUGUCCCUGGGCUCCCGAAGCACGGCCCCUUUCCCCCAGCUCAUUCCGGCCACCCUUGUGCUCCAGCUCUUUCCAAAAAGGACAAGGUGAAAGCUACGGCUCAGGCGUACCGGGUCAUGUCUGAUUUUUCUUUCCAUUGAUGUCUACAUUAGACCCAAGUAUGUUCUAUUGGAUGUUCAUAUUCCCACUCGUUUCCCGUGUCCGCUCUGUGCGUGCACCAUGUAACGAAUGUAUGUAAGUAGGGGGGCGCGGGGGUGAUGCCAACCCGUGGGUGUUGUCAUGUUUCUCUUCUUUUGGGGGGGGUUUAAGUCAUGGGCGCUUUUUUUUAUUGGUUGUUUCGAGGUUUGGUUUUUUUUUUCCCCUCCCUCUCCGGGGAGCCCUUGUUCCAGAGAACUGUAAAUGGAUGCUAUCUGUCCUCGGCUCUGUGAUAAAGCGUACUCUAGUCUGUGCUGUGCUCA